rnacentral:sRNA from 1 species
UACUCCUCUCUAUUCAUCGGGGGUGAUCCCCCCAAUCUUUUUAGAACCCCCUAUGUUAGGGGGUUCGUCUUUUUAUGCCUC